UACGAAGGGGGCUAGCGUUGUUCGGAUUUACUGGGCGUAAAGGGCGCGUAGGCGGCGCAACAAGUCACUUGUGAAAUCUCCGGGCUUAACCCGGAGCGGUCAAGUGAUACUGUCGUGCUAGAGUGCAGAAGGGGCAACUGGAAUUCUCGGUGUAGCGGUGAAAUGCGUAGAUAUCGAGAGGAACACCUGCGGCGAAGGCGGGUUGCUGGGCUGACACUGACGCUGAGGCGCGAAAGCUAGGGGAGCGAACGGG
rnacentral:rRNA from 1 species